GCGGCACAGCACGAAAUUAGGGUUUAGCAUUCCAUUUAGCUAUCUAUAAAAUCGUGGCACCACUCCUCAUGCCCAUAUCUUCCUUCUCUUCCGUCUUUGAAAUUGGCGGAGGAGCCUUAUCGUCACUGGUUUCAUUUUGGCGAAGAUAUGGGAAGAACUCGCGAUGCUCAUACAAUUCGAGGAGAGAGAUCUAACCAAGUUCAAGGAGAGAGUUCUUAACAUUUUUACUAUGGCAAGGCAAGAGUAAUAAGGAUGGUGGAAUGAAGAUGAUUGAAUUGUUGUUGGUGAUUUUUCGUUGAGGUGAUGGAUCUGUGAUGGCUUUUGCAGGUGAAUGGUGUUGAGUUGUAACAUAGGAGUCUUUGUAUUUUUUUUUGUUUUUUUGGAUUGAUAGAUUGUUAUCUGGGAAUGGUGUAGUGUGUGAUGUUGGGUCUGUGAUUUUUUUUUUUUGUUUAAAACACGAGGCUAAGAUCAUGGAGGGGGUUGAAAUUAAAGAAAGGUGACGUAAAUCUUAUAGUAAUCUUUUUCUCUUAUAGGGAUGACAUUAGUAUCCUAUAUGUAUAUUUUUUUCCAAGAUCUUUACAAGACCAAUUUUUACACUUGAAUCAAGGAAAAAGAUUUUUGUUA